CGCUUCUCAGGAUCACACCUGGAGAGUUUCCAGUAUUCUACCAGUGUCAGUUAAGGGAGGGAGAGUCAGGCAGAGGCAUAUCCAUUCCAUUCCUACCUUGGACAAUAACUAGUGAGUGGAAGGCAAUUUGCUACAAGU